rnacentral:rRNA from 1 species
UAACGCGUGGGUAAUCUACCUUUGGCAUGGGGAUAGCCACUAGAAAUAGUGGGUAAUACCGAAUACGUUCCCUGGGGGGAGGUUUCAGGGAAGAAAGGGUGCUACGGCACCGGCCGGAGAUGAGCUCGCGUCCCAUUAGCUAGUUGGUGAGGUAACGGCCCACCAAGGCGAUGAUGGGUAGCCGGCCUGAGAGGGUGUACGGCCACACUGGGACUGAGAUACGGCCCAGACUCCUACGGGAGGCAGCAGCUAAGAAUAUUCCGCAAUGGACGGAAGUCUGACGGAGCGACGCCGCGUGGAUGAUGAAGGCCGAAAGGUUGUNAAGUUCUUUUGCUGGGGAAGAAUAAGCCUAGGAGGGAAUGCCUAGGUGAUGACAUGAACCGGCGAAUAAG